CUGACGGUGGGGGUUAAGCCUUC
rnacentral:piRNA from 1 species